UUUACAGCAAGCUCCUAAAAAGACUCGUCUACAUUUGCGUAGACAUUGUCUCUUCCCUUUCCCCCUGGAACCAUGCCCAGCAGGCUCUGGUCCCCAGGUGUCACCUGCAACGGAUCGUUUCCUCUCCUCAGCUGACCCAGCAGCCGCACCUGACGCCCCUUCCUUGAACCACAUCUGCACUUACGUUCUGGACCAGCUCAUUCUGUGGCAGCUCCUCGUCGGUCUCUGUUUACCAGAAAAGGAGGACGACACAGGGAGAAGACACACGGAGAAGGCCAAGGGAAGAUAGAGAAAGAGAUUGAGUGACACCUCUACGAGACAAGGGACACCAAAGAUUGCCAGCCUUCACCGGAAGCCUGAGAAGGGACAGCCCAGAGGACACCUCCACGCCAGACUUCUGGCUUCCAGAACUCCUACAUCCAAUCUGUCCUCAAAGCCCGGCAGCUCGAACUCCAGAUGCAUCUGGAACCCAUCCACUUCCGGUCACCAUGUUGCCUCUCUUUCAUGUCCUUCCUGAAUAAAGCACACGCCUUCCACUCCUCCCCGCCGUUGCAAUCUCUUCUCUGCCAGCAGGCAGACUUCUACAACAAAACAAAACAAAACAAAACAAAACAAAACAAAACGUAAGAUAAUUCUAAUAGUCAACGUUCCUCCAAAAUAUAUGACCAGUAGUCAGUUUUUCAAAACUGUCCCUGUCAUCAAAAGCAAAGAACAUCUGAGAAACUGCCACAGCCAGAGGACGCUGAAGAGACAAGGCAACUAAAUGCAAUGUGGUGUCCUAGAUAAGAUAAAAACUGUGGAAGUCUAAAUACACCCUGCGUUGAUACGAAGGCAUCAAUUUUCAUUUAUUAGUUGCAACAAAUGUAUCUGCUAAUGUAAGAUGUUAGUAGUAGGGUAA